CCGCUUACCUCCACGGACUCCAUUUGACAGCUGAUUGGUUGGAUAUCAUCGCCCAGUCACGACACAACGUGCAAUUCAAUGAACAUGGCCGUAUGAUUGGGUUAAAUCACGCGCUCUCCCGAAGAUAAACCAUUUCGGCGAAGUGUGAUUAAAACGUUGCAAUAUUAAUGAAAUUGCGUGUCACGUUUGCAUACAACGUGACCUAGCAAACUUUAAGUUUUCGUGCAUUUAAUUAUUUUUUUAGGUUUCAUUUUGAGUGUUCGUUAACACAUUUGAGGUUAUCGCGUGACACGUGUGCGAUAAUGUUACUGUUAAUAUUAACAACAAAGAGUUUUGUUUAGGAAUGGCAAUAUGUUUAGGCGAGUUACAUUUGACAAGCGGUGGUCCGUUAACAGUUAGAAGUAUUGGCGCGGUCUCCUACAGCACAUUUUUAGCUAUUUCGAGCCCAUAAACAUGAGAACCUGAAUAAAUAAAUAAUCACGGAUAAGUUCCAUACGCUAAAAUGAAUUGCUGUUCGUUAGUCUCGCUAAAACUCGAGAACGGCUGGACCGAUUUGGCUAAUUUUGGUCUUGAAUUAUUAGUGGAAGUCCAGAGAAGGUUUAAAAGGUUAAAUAUGAAAAUGCUCGGAAUUAAAUAAAAAUUACAA